UACGUAGGGCGCAAGCGUUAUCCGGAAUUAUUGGGCGUAAAGAGCGUGUAGGCGGCCAAGCAGGUCCGUUGUGAAAACUGGAGGCUUAACCUCCAGACGUCGACGGAAACCGCGUGGCUAGAGUCCGGAAGAGGAGAGUGGAAUUCCUGGUGUAGCGGUGAAAUGCGCAGAUAUCAGGAAGAACACCAAUGGCGAAGGCAGCUCUCUGGGACGGUACUGACGCUGAGACGCGAAAGCGUGGGGAGCGAACAGG
rnacentral:rRNA from 1 species